CAUCCUGUUUCUCACUCUGUCCUCCACCUGGGGCCGCACCUCUCCCUGGAGCUGAGCUACCGACAGCCAGGAACUAGAGGAGCUCAGGAGAUGGACACCCCACAUUCUUCAGGAGUGCAGGAAGCCAACAGGUGCAGGAGAAAGUGCAGAGGACCACCAACCAGGAGCUUGGGUUCUAGUCCCAGCUCCACCAGGUCCUGGCUAUAGGACCUCAGGGAAGUCACUCAACCUCUUUGACCCUCAGCUUCAUCUGUAAAAUGUACAUAAGAAUAAUAAGCAGGCUGCCUCCAUCACUGGGCUGUGGCUCAGCGUAAAUGAGGUUAGUUGUUGUUAAAGUGCUUUGUGAAGUGGAAAAGUGUUAUCUAAAUGUAAGGGGCUAUUAUCCUUACAAUGAUACAGAUCUAGCAUGAGUAGCUACAUCACAGAGGGCGGAAACCAGCCUCCCUGUCCCCCUGGGAAAGACAGGACCAGAGGGAACAGGGGCAGCAGGUGAGUGCAGGUGAUUAGAAAGAAUGGGUUUUGGGAAGCCAAAGUGGCUGAACAUUGGAAUCGAUGACUGCAGAAGGGAUACCCCUAGGUCAGGGACACUGGACCACAUCCAUUUUUUUUUUUUUGAGAUGGAGUCUGGCUCUGUCGCCCAGGCUGGAGUGCAGUGGCAUAAUCUCCACUCACUGCAACCUCCACCUCCCGGGUUCAAGUGAUUCUCCUGCCUCAGCCUCCCAAGUAGCUGGGAUUAUAGGCACCCACCAUCAUGCUUAGCUAAUUUUUGUAUUUUUAGUGGAGACAGGGUUUCACCAUGUUGGCCAGGCUGGUCUCGAACUCCUGACCUCAAGUGAUCCACCCACCUCGGCCUCCCAAAGUGCUGGGAUUACAGGUGUGAGCCACCAUGCCUGGCAUUCAUUUCUUUCAAACUCUAGUAAUAUCAAUAAAUUAAAAAAAUUCAGAGACAGGGUUGGCUACUUGUGGGAUAUCUUUCAUGUUUGAUCCUGGAAAUACAUCAGGUAUGAAUCUAAAGGGUCCUGUGUCUGUGGGGUCACAAUUGCAUCAGCAGCUCCCCAGUCCCCACCUAUCUAGAUAAACUCAUUCAGAGAUAAUAUCCACCUGUACAUUUCAGGCCAUGUAGAGGGCCUCCUAGUCUCCCAUGGUAGGCUCUGGGGAUGGGGGAGAAAUAGAUUUAUCCUUUAAAUUCUCACCUGAGGCUGGGCAUGGUGGCUCACACCUAUAAUCCCAGCACUUUGGGAGGCUGAGGUGGUCAGAGGAUCACUUGAGAGGAUCAUUUGAGACCAGCCUAGACAACAGGGUGAGAUCCCAAAAAAUGUUUUAAACGGGCAGGGCACAUGCCUGUGGUCCCAUAUACUCUGAAGGCCGAGGCAGGAGGAUUGCUAGAGCCCGGGAAGUUGAGGCUGCAGUGAGCCAUGAUCACGCCACCGCACUCCAGCCUGGGAAACAGAGCAAGACCCUGUCUCAAAAAAUGAUUCAAUAACAAAUAAAAAAUAUAAACUUGACCAGGUGCAGUGGGAUGCACCUGUAAUCCCAGCGCAUUAGGAGGCUGAGCGGGGAGGAUUGCUUGAGCCCAGGAGUUCCAAGCUGCAGUGAGAUAUGAUCUCCAGCUUGGGUGACAGACGAACAGCCUGCCUCAAAACAUAUAAAUAAAUAAAUAAAUAAAUAAAUAAAUAAAAUUUAUCAGCAUAAGUUUCAUCAAAUUCAAGACAUUUUGGUGAAAAUGUGACUGCUAUGUUCCUGGGCUAUCUUUGGGGGGCAAUAAAAAUGUUCUGGAAUUAGACAAUAGUGAUGGAUAAACAACUUUGUAAAUAUACUAAAAACCACUGAAAUGUUCAUUUUAAAAAGGUUGACUUUGACUGGGCAUGGUGGCUCAUGCCUGUAAUCCUAGCACUUUCGGAGUACGAGGCGGGCAGAUCACGAGGUCAAAAGAUCCAGACCAUCCUGGCCAACAUGGCAAAACCUUGUCUCUACGAAAAAUACAAAAAUUAGCUGGGUGUGGUGGCACACGCCUGUAGACCCAGCUACUCGGGAGGCUGAGGCUGGAGAAUUGUUUGAACCCGGGAGGUGGAGGUUGCA
rnacentral:lncRNA from 10 species